GACGAACGCUGGCGGCGUGCUUAACACAUGCAAGUCGAACGGUGACGAGGAGCUUGCUCCUCUGAUCAGUGGCGAACGGGUGAGUAACACGUGAGUAACCUGCCCCAGACUCUGGGAUAACAGUUGGAAACAGCUGCUAAUACCGGAUACGAGACGGAGAGGCAUCUCUACCGUCUGGAAAGUUUUUCGGUCUGGGAUGGACUCGCGGCCUAUCAGCUUGUUGGUGAGGUAAUGGCUCACCAAGGCGACGACGGGUAGCCGGCCUGAGAGGGCGACCGGCCACACUGGGACUGAGACACGGCCCAGACUCCUACGGGAGGCAGCAGUGGGGAAUAUUGCACAAUGGGCGAAAGCCUGAUGCAGCGACGCCGCGUGAGGGAUGACGGCCUCGGUU
rnacentral:rRNA from 1 species